GACGAACGCUGGCGGCGUGCCUAAUACAUGCAAGUAGGACGCAGUUGCGAACGGGUGAGUAACGCGUCGGUAACUACCUUUUUGAGGGGGAUUAAUAAUUGAAACGAUAGCUAAUACCGCAUACUAGUAGAUGGUCCUGCGUUGUAUUUGCUUGUAGGUAGGGUAAUGGCCUACCUAGGCAACGAUACAUAGCCGACCUUAGAGGGUGAUCGGCCACACUGGGACUGAGACACGGCCCAGACUCCUACGGGAGGCAGCAGUAGGGAAUCUUCGGCAAUGGGGGGAACCCUGACCGAGCAACGCCGCGUGAGUGAAGAAGGUUUUCGGAUCGUAAAGCUCUGUUGUUAAGGAAGCGGUACUUAACCAGAAAGGGACGGCUAUCUACGUGCCAGCAGCCGCGGUAAUUC
rnacentral:rRNA from 1 species